rnacentral:lncRNA from 1 species
AAACGCAGAGCUCUGGAAGUCGCUGUCCAGCGAUAACCGAAUGUUAUGGCCGAUGGGGCCACAGCAGAAGUUAUUAAAGGCCAUGCCGACGACUACGAAUUACAACCUUUGAAACCUCAAAACAAGAAAGAGAAAAAGAAUCGAGAAAAAAAAAACAAAAAAAACGAACGGCGCUCAUAAAGAUGGAGGAGGGUAUGGCGCCAAUUUCAACCAUGCUUCUCCAGUAAAUGUCAGCUGUGGCGCCUCGGGAUUGUAGGACUCUCUCUCUCUCUCUUUCUCUCUCUCUCUCUCUCUGUGUCCAUAAUGAAUCUCUGUUCAUUCAAUCUCUGUUCUUCUUUAGGUUAAUGUCUCAGAUAUUCUAACGAACAGCUAGACUUCGGUUCGUACAGGAACUCUUUUGCUUCGAGCCUUCGACAGAUCGCUGAGAACCGGUAAAGAUCCCUUUUAAGUGUAAGAUUUGAUAUGUGUAUUUUUUUUUUGUUGAGAAGAUUUGAUAUGUAUAUAGAGAUGCUGUUUGAUUUAAUGCCUCUCUGAAUCUUUUCCUUUCAUUUUUUUGGGUAAAUCUUUUUUGAAUCUUUAUUCGUUUAUGAUGUUCUGAUGGUCAUUCAUUUUGUGCCUUCGUGUAGUUAGUUGUUUGG